rnacentral:tRNA from 1 species
UUCUAAAAUGGCAGAAUAGUGCAGUGAAUUUAAGAUUCAAAAAUAAAGAAUUAAUCUUUUUUUAGAAA